UACAGAGGUGGCAAGCGUUGUUCGGAAUUACUGGGCGUAAAGGGCGCGUAGGCGGUCUUGCAAGUCCUGUGUGAAAUCCCUCGGCUCAACUGAGGAACUGCACAGGAAACUGCUUGGCUUGAGUUCGGGAGAGGGAAGCGGAAUUCCGGGUGUAGCGGUGAAAUGCGUAGAUAUCCGGAGGAACACCGGUGGCGAAGGCGGCUGCCUGGACCGACACUGACGCUGAGGCGCGAAAGCUAGGGGAGCAAACGGG
rnacentral:rRNA from 1 species